rnacentral:ncRNA from 1 species
GCAUAUAACUCCGAGCUUACUUACCUACGUUUUGCGCACAGUAUUGAACACAAAAUAGGGUGGUAAUGCCAAUAAUACGAAGUCGGUAUUAUUCAGGGAUACGUUGGAAACGAUUUAUCCUCUCCGUUUUUAGAAAGGUGUCAAAUGCAAA